rnacentral:rRNA from 1 species
UACGUAGGGGGCUAGCGUUGUCCGGAUUUAUUGGGCGUAAAGAGCGUGUAGGCGGCCAGGUAGGUCUGCUGUGAAAGCUCGAGGCUCAACCUCGAGACGUCGGCGGAAACCAUCUGGCUAGAGUCCGGAAGAGGAGAGUGGAAUUCCUGGUGUAGCGGUGAAAUGCGCAGAUAUCAGGAAGAACACCCGUGGCGAAGGCGGCUCUCUGGGACGGUACUGACGCUGAGACGCGAAAGCGUGGGGAGCGAACAGG